GUGCUCUCUUUGGCAGCAUAUAUAAUAAUAUUGGAAUGAUUUAGAGAAGAUUAGGAUGGCCCCUGCACAAGGAUGACAUGCAAAUUGGUGAAGCGUUCUAUAAAGAA
ensembl:snRNA U6 U6 spliceosomal RNA